rnacentral:lncRNA from 1 species
UUCGCAUUUGAUUUUUGAACGGACCCCCUCAUCCUCCACAAUUUUCUCUCCAAGGUUUUGUUGUUCUAUAUUUUUGACUAGUUCAAGCAUUCUAGCAAACAAGUUGUGCACAACUUCAGCUCAUUCCCCACAUAUUUUGAUUCACCAACCUUCACCAUUUCUGUUUCAGACCUUUCAACAAACACCUGGUGCUCACAUGCAAACUUUCUAUAUAGCUCGAUAACAAAGUCUUCCCAACAGUCCGGAGUCCAUGUAUCUAAAAACUUUCCUUCAACGUACUGAUAGUACCAUUCUAGCUUCUCCUUCAAAAUCCUGGAUUACAUAUUGAAUCAUAUCUACUUCAAUCAUAGGAUUCACUUUGAAAAAUUCUUCAUAGCCCUGGAUAAAUCCAUAAGGAGCACUGUCGGAGAAAGGAACACUAUAAUCAUGUAUUGUUGGUACUCCACUCAAUUGGUCACAUGAAUGAGUGCUCCAUGGCAAAUCAUGUACCUUACUAGUUGCAGUACCACUUUGAGGCAUUUCAUCGAACACUUUAGCCUCACAAGAUGAAUUAGUGGAUUUACUUGGAAUUUUGAAAUGGGUGGACUUAGGAAUUGUUGGUUUAG